AGGAUUAACGCUGGCGGCGUGCCUAACACAUGCAAGUCGAACGAGGUAGCAAUACCUAGUGGCAGACGGGUGAGUAACGCGUGGUCAACCUACCGUUGAGUGGGGGAUAACUAACCGAAAGGUUAGCUAAUACCGCAUACGUGUCCGAGGGGCAUCCCUUGGCCAUAAAAGGAGCAAUCCGCUCGAUGACGGGACCGCGUCCCAUUAGCUAGUUGGUGGGGUAACGGCCUACCAAGGCACCGAUGGGUAGCUGGUUUGAGAGAGCGACCAGCCACACUGGGACUGAGAAACGGCCCAGACUCCUACGGGAGGCAGCAGUGAGGAAUUUUCCGCAAUGGGCGAAAGCCUGACGGAGCGACGCCGCGUGUGGGAAGAAGGCCUUCGGGUCGUAAACCACUGUCGAAGGGGACGAUAAUGACGGUACCUUGGAGGAAGCCCCGGCUAACUACGCGCCAGCAGCCGC
rnacentral:rRNA from 1 species